rnacentral:tRNA from 1 species
GCGCCCGUAGCUCAGUUGGAUAGAGUACAGCCCUCCGAAGGCUGGGGUCGUGGAUUCGAAUUCCGCCGGGCGCGCCA